UUCUCCAUCGGCCAACACCCCCCUCACUUCACAUUUCAUUUCUUCCCCAAUUUCUCAAAAAUUCCCAAACGAAAACCUAGUCUCCAUCGCCACCGCCAUUUCCGUCACGAUCGCCGACCGCCACCGUGCCGGACUCCGCUUCUCCUCUCUCUCCUGAAUUCUCCCUCUCUCACCUCUCUGCGCCGACCGCCACCGUGCUGUCCGGCGUGAUUCGGGGUGCAUGCUCCGGCAGCGGCUUCGCCGCCUCUCCUCCGCGCUCUCAUUUUUCGGUGUCACCGCCGUCACCCCCAGCCGCCUCUCCCGUCGCUAUACGGCGUCUCAGCGCCGUCGACCUUGCCGUCGCCGUCGUUCACCCGCGGCAGAGGGGAAAAGGCGUCGACUCCUCCGAGUUCCGGUUCCAUUCGAGAGCCCAGCCGCCCCGUCGCCCAGUAGCUAAGUCCCAAUCCUUUCUAAAGUUCUAACCUUGAAUUCAUUUCUUAAGGCAGUAGCUAUGUGGAAAAUUAUUAUUUGAUCAUUGAGAGCUAUUUGAAAAGUGGGGUCCUAGCAUGUUUGAGGUUGUGAGUUGCUGCUAUAGUUGUGAUGAUAAAACAUGCUUCUGUUACUGUCGUUGCUGAGAUUCUACCUAUGUGAUGCUUGUUUCUUGCUAUUGAUAUGAGGAGUCUAUUGAAAUCCCAAGUUCUCGGUUAUCUAUUGGUUUGUUAUACAUGAUGCAAGUGUGGUGUUAUGGGGGUUACCUCUUGUGACUGUGAUGGAAUGGGGCUGCCUAGUUGUUGCUCACAAAUGCUCCACUUUCUUCUCUAUGCGGCUGGUAUUUGCAGUGUGUGUGGUAAAGAGAACUUGAUGCGUAUGGAGGGGUUUUCUUAUAGGCCAAGUGUGUGCCUAUGAGGGAAUUAUAUGGGCUGAUUCCUUUGUUUUUUUAAUGCACAGUACAUCCUUUGUCCUUGAUCCCCUUGCAGCCUUUCAUCUAAGGCAUUUUGGUGCUACUUUGCUCACUAACUCCAUCUUGUUACUAAAAACCUAGUACUUGGCUGGUAAUUGAGCUUGUUUGUUGUGGCAGGUGCACAAUGAGAGUGCAAGGCGGUUAACUGCAGCUUUGCAGGGUUGCUGCAGCUGCUAGGGCAGGUGUUACAGGGCUGACCUUGCCCUCUUUAGACCAAGCUCAUCUUCAUUAUUGAAAAGGAAAUAAGAACUGAUCACAUCUGGCUGCCACCUUGCUGAUCCGGGCCCAACGGGCUGUCGAAAAUCGGGCCGCAAUCCCGGCCUAAAGAAGAGGCCCGAAGUUGGCAUUCCUUGCGUUGUAAAAGGAUAUGGUUUUCCUUAGGGCUGACAACUGACAAUUUUUGAUACGACACGAUAACACGACACGGACCGGCACGAAAUUAACUCGA